ensembl:lncRNA
AUUUGAAAUGUCAUGCAGUAGUGAUGAUGGGCGAAUGAAGCUUCAUGAAGCACUGAGGCUUUUCUCUGACUGUGCCGGGAAAAGAUUCAAAGCUUCGACUAGUGUCGAAAACAGUGCCAUCUGUUUACGCGUAUUUCACGUGUAACGCGUAUCUUUUUGUAAUUAAACACAUUAGUGGGCGUUCUAGCUUUAACAGUGAUCAAAGCAUUACCAUUUGUGUGGGGAAAUCAGUUACAGUGGAGUAUGUACAAAGACUGGUUACAAGGAUGAUUGACAGGAGGAGAGCCCCGCCCACCACAGACAGCAGUGUAGUGGAGUCCAUAACUGAGGAGACAAUGCGAGAACAUUGAUUUAUGGCAGUAUUUGGCCAAAGCAGAGAGCCUCCUCAUUCUUCUGAAUCUGUGGUUUUAGGUUAGUGUGACUGUGACUAAACCAGGGAAAUGUUUCCAUAUGCUAAUUUUGUAUAAAUGAAGCCGCAUAUGAAAGGUCAGGUAACUCAUUUCAUUUGGUUUUUAUGAAGCUGACUUGUUUUAAUGAAAAAGCAGCAAGUGGGUUUACUAUUUCUUGAUGUUAGCAAUAAGAACUGGUCUCUUUAAAAUCUUUAAGAAACAUGAAAACACAGAUCUUCCAUCCAUGAGCUCAUGAUCAUUUAUUCCUUAUCAUUUAAUACACUGUUCUUAAAACCUGCUGCUCUGAUCUCCACCAUGGACCUUUAGAUCUCUUAACUAUCUUGCAUCUUUGUGGGUUGCUUUCUUGCAGAACUUGGUGUUGAUGACUAAUAUGUCUAACAGUCAUUUGUACAUGUCAAAAAUCCUAUUCUUAACCAGUAUCAUCUUGUUUUCCAGUAAAAAGAUCUUAACAUCUAUAAAACAGGAUACAUUUAACCAAGAAUCCAGAGAAGG